rnacentral:ncRNA from 1 species
GUGUUGAAUGAAAGGAGAGAAGGUUAGCACUCCUCUGGACAGUUAUGGUAGUUUGUGUAGGUAUGAAAUUCU